rnacentral:rRNA from 1 species
CCCUGCCUUUUGUACACACCGCCCGUCGCUCCUACCGAUUGAAUGUGUUGGUGAGGAGUUCGGAUUGGCAAUAGGAGGUGGUUUUCCACUGCCUAUAGCUGAGAAGUUCUCCAAACCGCCCCAUUUAG